AAUAUUUCAAACGAUUCCAAGCAGUUUAAAGCGCUCACACGAAUGUUGGGUGUGUUUAUAAAGCCGACCCUUGUGAGGCAAACGUAGGCCUGGUAAAAAAGUAGCUCAACUAUAGAGCCACAAUCUAAAAAAUAAAUUGAUGUCUUCGCUCCGUUUCUAUAUUUUGUAAACCGUCAAGGCUAUAUACAAUUUCACAACAACCAGAUACUUAAUUUUAAGAUUUUGGAGUGGAGUGAUUGCAAGAUGUUAGAAGAUGUGGUUAAUGAUUAUUCUGCAUACUUUAAUCUGAAUGUAACUAAUGAAUUUCAAACUGUGCAAGACGUCGUUGACAACAUGUUAACCAGGCUGGAAGAACUGACAAGUGUACUACAAAUAAUAAAAUUAAAGAACAGUGACUGCAAUAAAGCCGUAUCUGAAGACAUUAGUAAAUAUCGCACAGAGAUAACUACAUUGUCAAAAAAAAUUGCUACUUUGAGCAAUGUUGUCCUGCGACUCCAAACAAAUGUGGAUUUGAUAGAAAAACAAAUGGAAAAAGCUGAAUUGGAUUUUGGUGUCCAUAAUGAUAAUAAAAUUAAAAGUUUUCUAAAACCUUUCCUUAAAAGGAAUAAAGACAUAACUCGACUAAACAAUCCAAUCACACCACCCGUUAUGCUUAAGCUAGAAAGUGUUAUGAAUAAUUUUAAUAACAUACAAAUGUAAAAAACAUAGGUAUAAAAAGGCUCUAAAUUAGAAACAUUUUUAACUUUUUGUGCCUUAAAAUGUGAAAAAUGAAACCCAACUUUAUGAAAAAUAUGUUUAAUACAACAAAAUCUUACAGACUAAUAGUGAUUAUUCAGUAUCACAAUAAAAUGCUAUCUAGGAGUGCCAUUGGUUUGUAAAUUAACAUGCAAUUAAAGGCAUUGUGUAUUAUAACUUACAUACAAAAAAAAAAUACUGUUCAUAAUUAUUCAAAAUCAAUUGAUCAAUCCAAGUUUCUUAGAACUAAAUUUUACCUUUUAAGUAAUGGCAAUGUUAGAUCAAAAUAUUUAUUUCUUUUACUGAAUAAUUCAGUAUAAAUAAGCUAUAUAACAUAUUGUUUGGUUGUUACAGCUUAUUUUUAGGUAACAUUGUAACAUUAUGGGAUCUUAGAACAAAAAUGUUCUGGAAAGUGACUCGCUAGACAAAGCUAAUGACUAUCUGUACCAGAAAUUGUGAAAAAUAUUGAGUGUAAAUGUAGGUUCUCAAAAUGGCAUUCUUACUCUAAGAGAUUUAUAAUUACACUAUAAUUUUUAAUCACUAUGGUGCAAUAUUGUGUAUUCUACGAUUGUUUUUUUUAAUAUGAAAUACAAAAUGUUGGAUAAUUAUCUAGUUACAUAUAUUAUCUAGUUUGGUUCAGUUUUCAUUUCCAUUUAGAUUAAGGUGACCAAUCAAUAUUAAAUUUCCGCUUAAUUUUG